rnacentral:misc_RNA from 1 species
UACGUACUGUGCAAACGUUAUUCGGAAUCACUGGGCUUAAAGGGUGCGUAGGCGGCGAACUAAGUAGGGUGUGAAAUCCCAUCGCUCAACGAUGGAACUGCGCUCUAGACUGGUUUGCUUGAGUGAGAUAGGGGUGUGCGGAACUUCAAGUGGAGCGGUGAAAUGUGUAGAUAUUUGAAGGAACACCGGUGGCGAAAGCGGCACACUGGGUCUUAACUGACGCUGAGGCACGAAAGCCAGGGUAGCGAACGGG